GAUGAACGCUGGCGGCAGGCUUAAUACAUGCAAGUCGAGGGGCAGCAUGAGUGUAGCAAUACAUUUGAUGGCGACCGGCAAACGGGUGCGGAACACGUACGCAACUUUCCUCUAAGCGGGGCAUAGCUCGGAGAAAUCCGGAUUAAUACCCCAUAACAUUGCAGAUAGGCAUCUAUCAACAAUUAAAGAUUUAUCACUUAGAGAGUGGGCGUGCGGCUGAUUAGGUAGUUGGCGGGGUAACGGCCCACCAAGCCUGCGAUCAGUAACUGGUGUGAGAGCACGACCAGUCACACGGGCACUGAGACACGGGCCCGACUCCUACGGGAGGCAGCAGUAAGGAAUAUUGGUCAAUGGACGAAAGUCUGAACCAGCCAUGCCGCGUGGAGGAUGAAGGCCCUCUGGGUUGUAAACUUCUUUUAUCUGGGACGAAAAAGGGACUUUCUAGUUCAACUGACGGUACCAGAGGAACAAGCACCGGCUAACUCCGUG
rnacentral:rRNA from 1 species